rnacentral:misc_RNA from 1 species
GAUGAAGAACGUAGCAAAAUGCGAUAAGUAAUGUGAAUUGCAGAAUUCAGUGAAUCAUCGAAUCUUUGAGCGCACAUUGCGCCCGCCAGUAUUCUGGCGGGCAUGCCUGUUCGAGCGUCAUUUCAACCCUCAAGCUCAGCUUGGUGUUGGGAUUCGCGGUAACCCGCGUUCCCCAAAUCGAUUGGCGGUCACGUCGAGCUUCCAUAGCGUAGUAAUCAUACACCUCGUUACUGGUAAUCGUCGCGGCCACGCCGUAAAACCCCAACUUCUGAAUGUUGACCUCGGAUCAGGUAGGAAUACCCGCUGAACUUAAGCAUAUCAAUAAGCGGAGGA